CUAUCCUUUACUUCCUUUGAAGUUCACACUGUACGCCUUUUUAAGCCCACUCCUUUAAGAAUUGCCAUCAUCUAUCGCCCCCCCGGUCACCCUAAACUAUUCAUUGAACACUUUUCCUCCUGGUUACCCCACUUUCUUUCCUCUAGCACUCCCUCUCUCAUACUUGGGGACUUCAAUAUCCCUAUCAACAAGCUCAAUUGCCCUGAUGCCUCUCGUCUGCUCUCUGUAACCUCCUCCUUUGGACUCACACAGAUUUCUUCCUCAGCAACUCACACUGCAGGAAACACUCUUGACCUCAUCUUCACCAAUCUCUGUACUACCUCUGAUCUCGCCACUUCUCCAUUUCCUUUGUCUGACCACCAUCUGCUAACAUUUAUCAUCUGCAUACCCCAUACCAAAAUCUCACCACCGUCCACUCUCCAACCUCGCAGAAACCUCAACUCUCUCGAUCUCCAGCACUUCUCCACUAAACUCCAAACACUCCUUUUACCCAU